rnacentral:lncRNA from 1 species
CGGCCCGAAAGAAAGAAGCAAAGAGAGAGAAGGGAAUUGAAAUCACGCAGAAUUAAGUGGUAGUCUCAUCGUCUCCUCCAAACCAAAGCACCCCCUUCUCAGAGCCAAACCAUCAGCGAACGAGCCCUCACUGAAAAUCAAAUUUCACUUUGAUCCGAAGAAGAAGAAAUUCUCUCUCACUCAGAUCUGAUUACUCAGGUACGCUCUGCUCCGCUCUGUCUAUUUCUUUUUGUUUCUUGGAAUUUGUGGUUUCUAACUGAUUGAUUGAUUAUUAACUCUUUUUUUUAUUGCUCUGCUUAUCUACUCUUUGCGGAUCGGUUAGUACUUGGUGUUUUAUUUUUUCUUAUUUUGAAAGCACCUUUUUUUUGCUGCUCAUUUAUGGAUUUUUUUUUUUUUUAAUUUAGUGCAUGUUCUGAGAAUGUGACGAUUAAAGAUGCCUUAAUGAAUCUUUUUUAUGUAUAAUUUGCGUAGAGGUAGCUUAUUUUUAUCUUUUAUUUUGCAUAUGGUGAGGGCAUUGAGACUUACAUAUAGCAACAACUCUUUUGCUGGUAUCGAGGUCCUAUCAUCACAAUUGAAGAAGCUAGAGAACCUUGACCUGAGCUUUAAUAGAUUCGACGAUAGCGUUUUAUCACAUCUGUGUGGAUCUUCUUCACUCAAGUAUUUAAAUCUAACAGGCAAUAUUUAGGAUCAACAACUGUCAAUGGUAAAGUUGUGAAAAUUUAUUGGCAUCUUCUAGCUAAUUAGACAUAACUUUACCCAAACUUCAUUUUUUAGAUGCCAACCUAUUCAGCUCAUUUCUCAACAAUACAUUUUGAUAUUUUUAAAUAUCUCAAGCACAUCUCAACACAAAAACUUAAGAUGUAUAUUGGAUAAAACCUCAAGAAUAUGAUUUUAUUAUAUUCAUUAGUAGCUUGCUUUUUCAGAUGCUGUUAAUAUUAUGGGAUUAGUGAUUAAUUGCUCAUUGACUUAAACAAAAUCCUGCCGAGCAUCUUUUAUGGUAGUUGGUACCUCACUACCUCUAAAGCUCCUACUUAAAUACUGACCAUAAGCAUGUGAAAUUUGAAAAUCACAGGUAAAAUCAAAUCAAUCCACUUAGUAGUUCUCUUUAAAAGGUGUUCCCCUGAAAAUUUCAAAUAUGAUUUCAUUUUUAUUAUUUUAAAUACAAUAACAAUUGGCCAGUGACUGAUAUGGAUGAACUAGGUGGCAUUUCAAUAAUGAUGUUGUAUUUGUGACAAUAAUUUAUGAAUUAUCAUAGUGGGUUGUGCUGUGCAAAUCCAUGAGGAGGACAUGAAUUCUUAAUGUUUGGUUUAGCUGGUCGUAAUCGGUUUCUUCUAGUUUUGUCUUGAAUGUCAAAUGGUGUUUUCUAUGCCCGGAUGAGGGAGAAGUGAAUUUGUUGUGGAGUGUAGAAGGACUAAAAUAAGUUGAACUGGAUUUUUUUUUUAAUGAAUGAAUUAAUUGUAUGAUAGAUUCUGAUCAUACUAGAAAUUACUAGAAAAUCAAUUCUGUGGUGGCUUAAUUGUGUGACAUGGUGAUUUCUUAUUUUUAUCAACGAACUUAAGAGGGGUUUUUAAGGUUAAUAUUCCAUGGUUUAAUAUUACUCAAAAUAAGGAUUUGUAAACAAAUCCUAAACCGGCAACUGUGGUUUUAUGGAUGGGUUGUAUGAUAGAACAGCCGAAUCAAAAGCCUUUUUUUGAUGUCAAGUUCUGGAUGGUCCUUGUUACCAAUUGAGUUGAUAAAUUAUUUCAAUUAGGUAUAAUUUAUACAAAUUAGGGUAUAAGGAAACUAAUCAACUAGACUUCAUAGUUUCAUAAAGUAUACAUUUAAUCCAUCCAUUCUUAAAUUCGUUUCAAGUUCAUGUUAUUUUUCAUUUUUCAAUUUUUUUUUUUUUGGUUUUUUCUUGUUUUAAAAAUUAAAAAGAGAAGAGAAGCAGGUAAGUGGGAAAAGAAAGAAGGCAUGUUUGGGUUUUUUUUUUAAAAACCCUACUAAAUUGAAUAUGGUAAAGAGGUCAACUCUAGUAAAGGGGUUAUUUAAUUAUUGUCUAUACCACAGAGACUAAUUCAUUAGUUUUGAUAAACUAUAAUGAGUUAUUAUCCAUUAACUCCAAUUAUCUCCUUUAUUGGUUUACUACUGAACAAGAGAAGUGAUACAACUAUUUGUCUCUCGUCCCAUCUCAUUUCCUCUCUUUGCACCUCAGAAAAAAAAAAAUCAGUUCAGAAAGGCUUGUGUGAAUCUGAAAAGGCCCUUGGGAAUGGCAGCAAUUUACAGCCUUUACAUCAUCAACAAAUCAGGUGGUUUGAUCUUCUACAAGGUAAGAUGUUUACUUCCCUUCAAUUCGAUUACAACGGCAUUUUGGGGUGUGAUGCUUGAUUGGAUCAUGAUUGAAAGCAAUACAAGUGACUGACUACUUCUAAUAAUAACAAUUUGUGAUGUUUGAUGUUUGGGUUACUGUUGCAUUUUUUUUUAUAUAAUAAAAUAGGAUUAUGGAUCUUCUGGACGGAUGGAUACAAAUGAUAGCUUGCGAGUGGCUAGUUUAUGGCACUCAAUGCAUGCCAUCUCUCAGCAGCUAUCACCAACUGUUGGUUGUUUAGGCAUUGAACUCCUCGAAGCUGAUACCUUUGAUCUUCAUUGCUUCCAAUCACUCACUGGUAGCUACCUCAACCCUUUUAUUUAUUUAUAUAUUUAUUUAUUUACAAGCAUACUAGGUACAAUAUUAGAAAGAGAAAUGCUCUAUAAUUUACCAAGGUAUCAAUUUCGUAGUUAUUUGGUUAUUGAUAAGCCUGCCAUCUUAUGCUUAAUUGCCAAUUUCUUCUGUGUAGGAAUUUGGACACCACUUUUCUUAAUUUAAUGAACUUCAACCCUUUCAAAGUUAUUAUCAGCUAGCUGAUUGUUAGAUCCAAAUUUUUUUACCGGAAACUGCCACGUUCUGUAACAUAUGGAUUAUAGUGUUCUGAGCAUUGCUUGCUAUUUCCUAACUUUUGGUUCUAGUUAGCAUGCUUCAUUUUUUAAGGUAGAUGGGCUGGGUACUUGAGUAUUUAUUUGUGGCUGUUUUAUGUUCUUUAAAAGUAUCUCAAGUCCAUGUUUUUCAAACUAUGAAUUUGUAGUGACAAGCUCGUCGUUCCUCUUUGAAUACUUUUGAAUUUUCUUUUUAAACUUAUUUGGGUUUUUUCCCCUCUACAGGAACAAAAUUCUUUGUGGUGUGUGAACCUGGAACACAGCACAUGGAAGGCCUCUUGAAAGUCAUAUAUGAAUUGUACACGGAUUAUGUCCUAAAGAACCCGUUUUAUGAGAUGGAGAUGCCUAUACGAUGCGAGCUCUUUGACAUCAACUUGUCUCAGGCAAUACAGAAGGAUCGUGUUGCUUUAUUGGGGCGAUGAACUUUCUGGAUUUUGCUUCAAUAACUUUUGUUAUUUUUCAUUUUCAUUUGUGCAUUUGCCAUGAGAUCUUUCAAUUAUCUUUUAUGCUCUUCUUCUCCUUAGUGGCUGUUUGUUGGUGCGUUCAACUUGUUUUUCAUGAAAAUUUGAUUUUUUUUUCUUUAAAUUUAUUUUUAGUGUUUUCGGAUUGUUUUGAUGUGGAGAUAUCAAAAAUAAAAUAAAAAUUAUUUUAAUAUAUUUCCGAAUAAAAAUUAUUUUAAAAAAGUAACUGCUACCAGUCUACUAUAUUUCCAAAAACCUUCUAGUAUUUUUAUGAAAUUUGUGGGAUGUUGAUUGUUUAUGGAUGUCCAUCUGUGCAGGCGAAGUGUCUUUUCAAUGUUGCAGAAAAGUGCAAAAUUUGGCCUGCUUAAACAUCUUUUGCUCUUUGGAUGAGCUGGGGGUUUGGAGGGCAGCAUUUCCAAAAUGGGGAAACCCCCAUUUUUAGAGAAUUCAAAAAAAUUAUUGUAAUUUGGCUCCCUUCCCUCGCUGCAGAACCAGUUCAGGGUUGCAAUAAUGUGCGUAGGAUUGGCAUGGUUCGAAAACGUGCGUCUAUUUCGGCGCCGUUAUUUUUACCUCGUUAACAAACGGUUGCAAUAUCUAUUCUGAAUCUGAUUGGUGGAGAGAAAUUUAUGUUCUUUAUAGGUCUCUCUCGCACAAUUAAUUCUCUGUGAGAGAAUUUCUUCCACGUCGGAUCAAAGUGAAAUUUGAUUUUCAUUUAAGGUUUGUUUGCUGAUGUGGGGGGAGAGGGGUUUUUUUGGCUACGAGACGAUGAGGCUACCAGUUAAGAAACAAUUUAUAAACACUAUUUAUCCCUUAACAACUUAUAAUGGAUUCACGUGAUAAUUUUUUCCUGAUCUUUUAAUUUUUUUUAUCAUUUAUUUCUUUUUCAAUUCAAACCUUUGACAUUUGUUUUUUUUUUUUGAAGGUUAGAGUUUUAUAAAAAAAAUUUAUUUAAUUUAUUUUGGGUAUUAAGAAGAAAUCUAUUUCUCCUCUUGGAAACAUUGUCCAUCCUAAGUUAUUAUAGAUUCGUACACUCCUCACCUGAGAAGUUACUGUGAAUUCAUAGUAACUUGUUUUUUUUUUCCUUUCUAAUUUAGUCAUUUGAUAUUGUAUUUUUUUUUUUAUCAUUUGAAUUAUUUUUUUCCAAUUUAGUCAUUUGACAUUGUAUUUUUUUGGGAAUGAAUAUUAUAAUUUGUUUGUAUAUUAUCUAUAUUGGAAAAAAUAUCCUAACUUUUAAUUGGUGCUUGAAUUUACAAAACAAAAACCAGUUUUGUUGUAUGUAAGAGAUUUAGAGUUGGGGGAUAAGAAUGGCAAUUUUUUUAAAAAUAAAAAAGUAGUUCCGGCACCUUCUAGCCUUAAAAAUUGUCUAUAAAUCUCCUUUUUUGCUCUAUAUUUUUAUUAUUUUAUAAAAUCUUUUAUUAUAUUAAUAGGCCUGCGUGUUCAUUUUUUGGUGUUAAAAGAUAUUGGAUCUGACCCGUGAAAGAAGCAGAGUGACCUAACUAGAUAUUAUUAUAUUUAAUAUUGUUCAAUUUUUAUUGUGUUUUCUUAUUUGUGUAUAUAUAUAUUUUUUUAUUUGUGUAUAUUUUUUUAAUAUUAGUAAGUGUUGUUUUUUGAAACUCAUUAUAGGCGUUCUUUUUAUAUUAUAUUCGGUUAUUUUAUUAUGAUAUAAUCAAAUAAAAAAAUAAUUUUAAAAUAAACAAAAAAAAACUCGGUAUUUUUCUUUUCUUGUUGUUGUUAAUUAAUUUUCUUUGAUUAUUCAUAAUAAUUCCAUGCCCCAUGCCCGCAUUGUUUCUAUCACUCUCCUCCAGUUACUCGCUUGUCUCUUCUUUUGUAGUCGAAUUUACUCUCUCGCCCUCUCUCUCUAAUUAUACUCGUCGAAUUUUACUAAACCUCUCUUACCUGAUGAUAACCUGCUGCUUGGUAUUUCUGGUUUUUGUUGUUGUUGUUGUAUAUUUUUUAUUGGUUUUUUUAUCAAAUAAAAAAAAAACCUAACUAGUUUUCACAUAAUCAGUCAAUCUUGAACUAUUUUUUGAGCUUGAGAUAAAAGAGCCGAUCACCGAUGCAGACCUCGACUCAUGCGAGUUGACUCAAUGGAGAAGUUUAAGAGAUUCUACUAGAAAGUUUUAAGCAUUUUUAAGAACUCUUUUGGUUUUAUUUUUAAAAACCUUUUGUUAUAGUAUAUGUUUGAUAUUGUGGUAACUAUAUAGUUAUUUUUUUAAAAAAAUAAAUUUAAAAAACACUACAAAUUGUAGCUUCUUUACCGGCUUUUGAGUAGCCAAGAGUCGGACCUUCCAAUACGGUGCAUAUUUACAUUUUUCCCUCCUUUUAAUUUGUUUUGGUUGAAUUUGAAUGUGAUUUAAAAUUUUGGAAAACUAGCACUGUAAAUUGUUUUUAGAAAAACAACACAAUUUAAUAAAAAUCAUAAGUGAAAGGUAUGUUUUUUUAAAAAAGUUGUUGUUGUAAAGUGGGGCAUUUUAAACAAAGAGUUAAAAUGGCCUACAUAAAUUUCAAUAAAACAAAAAAGAAAGAAUGAGAUUCUAUGGAUAAGUAAACCUUUGAUGAGAAUAUCUUAAAAUCAUUAAAAAAAAACUUUAAUGAAAUGAAUCUAAUAAUAUUAAAAAAAUUAUUAAUAAUAAUUGAAAUGAAUCACGGUAUUUUUAAAUAGAGAUAUGUGAUCAACUUGUAUUUUUUGUAAUACGUGUUACCUACUCUAAUUAUUGUUGAUGAUUUUUUUUAUAGUUGUUAAAUUCAUUUCAUCAAAAUAUUUUUUAAGAUAUAAAAAAUGUCAUGAUCAAAAUUUUAUUAUAUUUUGGUGUUUCAUUCUUUUCUUUUCUCUUUUAAUUCCUUCAUUUUUCUUAAAAUUUGUAUAAGAUAAUUUUAAUAAUUUAUUUAAAAUAUUGCUACUUGAUUACGAGUUUUUUAGAAGUCGUAGUUUGCAUCUAUAUUUUUUAUUAAACUGUGUUAUUUUUUAAAAAUAAAAAAAUAAAAUUGCCAUAUUUUAAACAAUUUGCAAUUAUUUAAAAAAACACUCAAAUAUUUGUGAAAUAACAGAACUAUCCCGUAGCAAAAAAGAAAAGCAACACCCCUCCAUAAAGAUCCUAUUUAAUAUUAUAAUAAUAAUUUUAAAAAAAAAAUAUAAAAAUAAUAUUUUUUUUAAAUUUUAUUUUUAAUAUCGUAAUAUCAAAAUAAUUUUAAAAUAAAUAAAUAAAUUAUAACAAACCACGCGUUCAAAACAAACAGUAUCGAAGUCUAAUUCAAUACAACUGCCUGCCCUUGUAACGAGCACACUAUAAAAAAGGUCACGGGCUUGAUUACAGAAACCGUCAAACACAGCCAUAUCCAAAAGGUAAAAGAUCAUCCUCUCCUUUCUCUCCUCUAAUCCAUCUCCAAAUGCAACAAAACAUGUCCACAAAAAGACCCACCGCCAUCUUUCUCUUCCUCCUCCUUGCACUCCUCCACGACCGAAUCCAUGCAAGCCCGAUAAAAACUGUAGUGGUAGUAGUGAUGGAAAAUCGUUCUUUUGAUCACAUGCUGGGUUGGAUGAAGAAAAUCAACCCUGAAAUCAAUGGUGUUGAUGGCACUCAAUGGAAUCCAUUGAACAUAAGCGAUCCAAGUUCGCAGAAAUUCUUCACCAACAACCAAGCUCAGUAUGUUGACCCUGAUCCUGGCCACUCUUUUCAAGCAAUAAGGGAGCAAAUAUUUGGGUCUGAAGACACAUCCAAGAAUCCUCCUCCCAUGAAUGGCUUUGCUCAGCAGGCUUUCUCGAUGGACGCAUCAACCAGCUUGUCUCGGGAUGUCAUGAAUGGAUUUGAGCCUGAUGUGGUAGCCGUGUAUAAGACACUUGUAUCUGAAUUUUCUGUCUUUGACAGGUACAGCUACUUUUUUGUCGGUCCACUUUUAAGUAAUUUACUACAUCAAGAUUCCGUUUCAAUGAUUUCGAUGUAAACAUACUGAUAUUUCUCUACCCGAAAAUAUAAUUCAGUGAUGUCUUUAUUAAUCUCAGGAAUGCCCCAAUGGCAACUAGAUUGAAUUUCAGCUUAUAUUCUUCUCAUAACAACAAAUCAGAGAGAGAGAGAGAGUAUUUGAUGGAUAUGGUUUUCAUGUUGAAAUCAGUAGGAAUCUGAUUUUUUUUUUUUUAAAAAAACAAUUAUUGCAAGUGUUUUGAAUAUGACACAAUUUUAUUUUUUAUUUUGAGAAAAUAACGUGGCGUUUUAAUCCUCCAAAUUAAUAUGCGUGCGUGUUUAUACUUGUAUAUCUUUUAUAUAUUUAGGAAAAAAGAGGUUUUUUUGGAAGUAUUCAAUUAAUUUAUAAACUUCGAAGUAUCCACUUAGCUAUACUUUUUGGUUAAUUUAUUGCACAAACAUUUGUAUAUUGUUGACAUGAUUUCGCGAUUACUAGUAAAAGCACAUGCGAUGUCUAAUUUAACCAAAAAAAAAACAUCCUGCCCUGUCAGGUGGUUUGCUUCUGUGCCAUCAUCCACACAACCCAACCGUCUAUUUGUUCAUUCAGCCACAUCCGCCGGAGCCACCAGCAACAUCCCGGCAUUGCUCGUCAAGGGGUACUCUCAAAGAACAAUUUUCGAGAACCUUGACGAUGCUGGAAUAUCUUGGGGAAUAUACUAUCAGAACAUUCCCGCCACAUUGUUUUAUAGGAACCUAAGGAAGCUCAAGUACAUCACUAGAUUCCAUCCUUAUGGCAUGUCGUUUAAAAAACAUGCAAAACAAGGCAAGCUUCCUGGUUAUGUCGUGCUUGAGCAGCGGUACAUGGACAUCAAGAUAUCUCCUGCCAACGACGAUCAUCCUUCCCAUGAUGUCUAUCAAGGGCAAAUGUUUGUCAAAGAGGUACUCAUAAACUUUUUUUAUAUAUAUAUUUAAGUCAUUCGUACGUAUUCACAUAUUCCAUACACGUUCACAAGUAUGCAAAGAUUGCAUUAAUUAAUCUUUCAUUAGAGAGUCUACCUCAUUAUUGAGAUUGUUCUGAGCUAUAGUUUCUCUUAAAACGGAUGUUUACUUUUCUUUUCUUUUUCAAAUUGUCAAAAAUUAAUGUUCUUGUGAUUGUCAAUAUUGCAGGUGUACGAGACACUAAGGGCAAGUCCACAAUGGAACGAAACUCUAUUGGUAAUCACAUAUGACGAGCAUGGUGGGUUCUAUGAUCAUGUGGCUACACCUGUGAGUGGGGUCCCUAGUCCCGAUGGGAUUGUGGGACCUGAGCCAUUUUUUUUCAAGUUUGAUAGACUUGGGGUUAGAGUUCCUACAAUCGUGGUCUCACCUUGGAUAGAGAAGGGAACCGGUAAGUAGCAUAUCACUUUCAAAUCUCAACCAUCUCUCUCUCUUUUUCCUUUUUAGAGAUUUUAGCUUACCGAACAGGAUAAUAUCAUCGCGGGCAUCAUAUUCCUAGCAUUAUCAUGUAUGAUCAAUGGCUAACUUUACUUGAAUGUUACUCGCAGCAUCACCUUUACGUACGACUAACUGUUAGUUUAUGUGCAAGAUAUAUAUGCUACCUAUUUCACACUGCUUUUGAUACGAAAAGAGAACAGGUGACCUUCCACUUCUCUCGUGUUUUUAGUACUCAUCCAUCGUCAAUGUAUAUGCAAUGUGAAACGAAAUCCUUGUGGAUGAAAAUCAGGCUAGCAAAAAGUGAGAGUUGCCAAUUUGUCACUUCUCUUCUUUUUCCCAACCAACGAAACAUGCGAGGAAAUUAAUUAUGGGGUGGUUAGGGUGUCGUUGAGUCCUUUCCCGUUUGGACAGAAACUUCGGGAAAACUGGGUGCAAGUUUUUUUAUGACACCGUCUUAAAAGUUGCAUGUAGUUGAAAGAAAGAGCGGAAAGGUGGUGGAUUUCUGCUUUGUUGCUGAAAAAGGUUUUGCGUGCAAGAGAUCGAGGAAUAUGUAUCACUAACUAAGCCAACAGGUAGCCUAACAUGAGCACGGAUCUUCAUCGAUCAUGCUUUUCUAGUUUACUUUUCGAGAUUGAGUCCAUCAUAUUGUGGGCCCGUGAUAAAACCCAAAAGUACUGGGACUCGAACGAAAAAUAGACCGAAAUUUCAAGCUUCUUAGCAUAACGUUAGUAUCAGAGGCAGUUCCUAUGAUUAUGAUCAUUUUGUAGCGAUUGAUGUUGUUUUCUGAAAACUCAGGAUCUCGAGUGUGAGUUUUUUGAAUGGAAGGCAUGGCCAUUUAUCAAUGUAUAGCAUCAUCAUGCAAUGCUUUUGCUGAUUAUUGACAAAUGAAAAAAUUAACCAAAAAUUGAUAAAUGUUACUUCGGCAUGGUGAUGCAGUUGUCCAUGGACCCAAUGGGUCACCAUUUUCAACUUCAGAAUACGAACACUCAUCCAUUCCUGCGACGGUGAAGAAGCUCUUUAACAUGCCCUCUCCUUUCUUGACAAGGAGGGAUGAAUGGGCGGGUACCUUUGAAGGAAUCUUACAGACUCGGACUGAGCCCAGAACUGAUUGCCCAGGUCAGUCACCUAACUCGUUUUCCAAGCUGAAUUCUUUAGCUUUUUGCUAACUGUUUAUGUUCUCAUCCGCUCUUCUGAAUAGAGCAACUACCAACUCCAACUCAGGUCAGGAAGAGCGAGCCCAAUGAAGAUGCCAAGCUUACUGAAUUCCAGCAGGAGCUACUACAGCUUGCAGCUGUGCUAAAAGGAGAUCAUAUUUUGACGAGUUACCCUGACAAAAUAGGGAAGGAAAUGACAGUCAAGCAAGGGAAUGAUUACAUGGAGGAUGCACUGAAACGAUUCUUCGAAGCAGGACUUUAUGCUAAAAGCAUGGGAGUCGAUGAAGAACAAAUUGUUCAAAUGAGGCCCUCCCUCACUACGAGACCAUCCAAACCAACCAAUCAUCCAUGAAGAUCGUUGUUACAUGCUCGGCAACAUUAGCUAUUGUAUCCACAGCUAAAAAAAAGAAAAAGAAAAAAGAAUUCCUCCUUUUCUUACUCUACUGAGAGUGUUUUAUAAUGAUAUUGAGCUUAGGAUUACUAGAUCCCAGGAAAAAAAUCCAUUACCCUUACAAACCCAGAAAAGUUUUAAUCGGUGCCGACACAUUAACAAAACGCAAUUGGAUAGCCAUAGAGAUGGUUUCAAAUUUUAAUCCUCAGUCCAGGACUCAUAUGAUUGAAACCUAAAGCUUGCAGAAUAAGAGCUCUAUGGGGUUCACUUAAACCAUGCCAGCCUGGAGAAACACAGAACCACUAAAUCUCACACCUCCAAAGUCAGACGCACUCUUCAUGGUUAGAUAUAUGUUUUUAGUUAUCUCAGAGUAUUGUUCAUCAAAUUAACCUGCCCACUGGCUUUCAGGACAACUUCUUCGCCAUUGUUUCAUAAACAGCAAGGAGCAUCACAAACUGUGAAAGCAAGAAAGUCUCAAUUUACAGGUCUGAAAUAUUCAAAAUUAACUCAGCACUAUCUCAAGUGUAGCAGAUAUGUGUACAAAAAGAAUUCAGAGUCCCUGAUUAAUUCACAAAGUGUCACUAACCAAAGAUCCCUCUUUUGUGAAGGCAUUCCUAUUUUCAUAUACCACUCUUUUGUUACCGAGUAGAUCGUAUAAGUGAAUCUCUUCUGGAGGAUAUUACACUGAACCACGAAUCAAUGUGCUCAUGAUCCACAUAUAGAUCUCAGCCACUGUUCGAUGAGUCCCAGCCUGGAAUGUUAGCUGUAGCCUCAUUCACCAUCUUUACAAGUCUCACCUGCAGAGAAUCAUGAUGAAUGGAUUGUUAAGUCAAUGAGAGGGACGGGGAGCAAAUAAAGUGCCUUCGCAUCCAUGGUCUAUGUUUUAUGCAAAUGACAACAUAGUAUAAUGACUUGUAAUCCAGAUAUGAAUCCCCAUCUUAACCAUCAGUUCCCAUGGGAUAAGUGACUACGAAAAACAGUAUAUAUAACAGAACCCUUUAUUUCACACCGGAUAAGGAUGACAUCAGAGACCAAGAAUGCUUUGAUAAACUUAAUGUAUGUAUGUUUUGGUUUCUUUUCACCUAGGAUGUUAGGUCCAUGUAGUUUUUCAUUGUGUUGGAUGGAGACCAAACAAGGCUUUUGCUCUAUACUACAUAAUAACAUAGACAGACAGUUUCACAUUGCAAGUGAUCAGGAUGGUUAGCAUGCCAAGUUGAUAUUACAUAUGGUUCGAUACAAACCAAAACCUUGACAAAUAAAUGGUUGAUGUAAACGAUUCCAAUCGAUGCAUCAAAUAGUUUAUUAUAUGCAGCUUUUCAGGGAAAUCAUCAUGGACAAUGCAGGUUAGCCUUCUACAAAUUAUCAAUUCAUUAUUUAAUUUUUUUCCUUCUGUACAGGGAUGGCAAUUCUCUUGUACAUCUCCAGUGCAUGGAUAAAGCCCAGUUGGCUACUAAUUCGUACAUACUCCUUGAAAAACAAGUUCAACCCAUGCAUUCAAGCAUCCCCAUUAUAGCACGUAAACAAAUAAUUGCGUCUGUGUGAGGGCCAUUUUGAGAAAGUUGAACUUGGCCAACUUAUUACAACCUUUAUCAAAUAUCGUAAGUUUUAUCCACAAGUGCUGUGUAUUCUAGUUCCAGGUAGACUUAAUUUUAAUAUUUUUCCUCCAAGCCCACUCAUCAAACAUGAAUUUUUUGACAUCAGUAUAAUAUGAUUUCCCCAAUUGUCACUUGUAAAAAAUCUAGUUGUGAACAUACCACGCUUUCAGGAACUCCUGGUGGGGGCAGGGUGAGGUUCUUUGGUGGAGGACCACUGAGAUAGGAUCUCUUGUCAAACCGCCAUUCUCCAAUCUUUCCAUAUGUUAAUUCUCCCUGAAAAAUCAACAAAUUAUGGUAAACAAACUAAGAAUCAAAUAUCGGUUGUUUUUAUGAAACUACUUGUCAAAAACAAACAAACAGAAAUAGAAGGUGAAGAAUAUAGUUAAAACAUCAAAAUCAGAGGAGAUAAGAGUAAAUAUGAGAGAGAGAGAGAGAGAUCCCUUUCUUUACCUUCAUAUUAUAGUCGCAUCCAUAAGUAUAGUGGAUGAUAAAUCUCUUACCAACUUCCAAAUCCCAUGGAGGCUGAAACAUAAAUGGAUAUAGGCAACUCUUUAAAAAUGACUUCACAAAAUAGAGAGAUACAAGAAGCAUUAGCAUAUGCCAUAGAUACCUGUAGCAUAAAGUCUUUACGAAGUAUAUGCCGUACACCAUGCAAUGCUGAUGCUACAGCAUAGGCAUACCUUAUAUCAACAGAGACAUGUGAGCAACAUUGAAGUAUUCCAACCAUUCAAGAAUUAAAUUUCAUUAGCAAAAUAGAAAGAAUCAUAUUAUAUAUUACUCACAUCUCUAGCACCCAACCAAAUGCUUUAUCAGUCUCUGGGUCAUCUUUCAUUCUUAACGAAACAUUCAUCCAUGUUGGCGCAAUUUCCUCCAGCAGGGACUGUAAAGAUACAGGUAGUUCAUCCAAUGUUAAUAUGGAAAUAUUGUUUCAAGUAAACGAAAAUAGUCCAUCUCAAUGGUCGCGAUAAUAGUGAUAUUCUGACAACAAGGACAGUGGUGCUUCGUAUAAACAAUGGUUAGCACUAUGGGUUUCUAACUGAAUUUCAAAUUAUAUUCCCUCAAUAUUGGGAUUCUGAUAACAAACAUGGAAACACAAAAUAUUCUCAGAAGUUCAAUUGGUUUAAACUGGCUGCAAUUGCAAUAAGAGUUGUACCUUUUUUAUUAUUACAGGGGAAUUGCCAAUUGGAUCAACAUCCGUCACAGGACCCUUCUCCUCAGGAUAAAACUUUCUAACAAUUUUCUGAUGUUCAGUUGGUUUAAUAUAGAAAAAUGGAAACCCUGCUGGAUUAUCUCCAUGUGCCAAGUUAGGCAAAGGAUUUGCAAAUAUGUGGUCAGGCUCUGCCAUUAGAAUGUAUCUGUUUUUAUCACAAAGUGCUUCUGUAUCAGUCUUAUAAUCACCAGUUGUCAGAUGUCAUAAAGCAAAAGCAAGAAAAAAAGAAGAAAAUGAGGACCAUAACUUUAAGAACUUACUCUUCCUCAAUUGUUGCCUUUUCCAGCCAUUGCACAAAAGCCCAUGGUCUAUUCAAGACAAUAUAUCCCUGGACAGAGCAUGAAAUGGCCAUAUGAGCAAAUUGUGUAAUUAACUAAUUACUGAUAGCAGUAAACCAUGAGCAGAGACUGUUUUCCUCUAAGAUUUGGAAAAGGCAGCGAUUUGGCUGGGAAACACAUUAAGAGUCUGCAUCACUGCUCGCAUAAGUCAAUCUAAAACAACUUUGCAUAAGAAAUGUCAAGUUUGAUGGCAUGCCCCAGAGAUAUAAUGGAAUAAAAUGAAAAUUGACUCAAUAUAAUUCAUGCUAUUGAUGCACAGAACACCUCCUGGAUCUCUUUAUAAAUUACCAAGAACAUUUUAAAUUCACAAUACUACAAUAUGUAAGGCUAGAAGCAAAAUCAAAAAAACAUCUGAGACCUAUAAAUUUCCCAAAGCAAAUUCAAGUUCACGAUAAUUUUAACUUGGAAAUCAACAUGUAACUGAAUAAAAGCCGGUGAAUAAAUAUAAGCAACAGCGAAAGUGAAAACAGAAAAUCUCACCCGAUCUCGGCCCUCUGGAAGAGGAUCAACAACAAAAGUUGGAAUCUCAUCCAUCAAAUGAUCACCUUUCCCCGAAUGCAAAACUCGAGUGAACUUCCCCAUGUCUGAUCCUGGCAUGCUUUUCAUUUUCUUAUACCAAUAAUACAUAAUCCGGCAUUGCCAUUGACUAUAAGGAGCAUCAGUAGCCGUAAGAGCAACAUGGAAUUUCAAAUUUGACUUCCCUAAUUUCCAAGAAUUGGCUGGCAUCCCUGUAACAGGAUCAGAAAUCCCUGAUCGAAGUCCUGUACUAGAAUCCUUAUAUUGUAUUACCAAAGUCAACAAGUUAUACGUGGCAAAGAAAAACCCUAGUGCUAAAAGCACCAAUAGCAAUGGCGACGCUCGCCCCAUAUUUUUUCUCCCAAUCAUCUUGAACCCCCCCCAAUACACAGAAACUAAAUUCCAACUCUCUUCACAAUUCACAAAGUCAAUCAAACCUCAAUUAUGCUAUCUACAAUAGCAUUUAAAUACAAAUCCAGAUAUUAACAUAUUUAAACCACUCCAAUUCACAUCUCCAACACACAAUUUCACCAGCUAAAACUCCACUAUCUUUUCAAAACAUCCAAUGGGUCAAUCACAAACUUAAAUAAAAAGCCACGAACCAAUCUGCAUUAUAAUAACAAUUAAACAAAAAACAACGAGUCAAUAACAUAACACAAAGAUAUACCACCCUGUUCUCAUUAUCAAACAGAGCUUAAACAUGAAACCAAAAAAGAAAGCAUAAGUCUUGGUGUCAAACAAUGAUAACUCUAAUGCAAAAACAAAACCCAGACGUCAAAAAAUGAAAAUCCAUGCAAGAAUCAGAGCUCAAGCUCAUCAAAAUAAAUAUAUAAAAAAUACACAGAUCUGUUGAAGGGUUUUUCCUUUUUGUUUACCUGAUCAGAGAGGAGCAAAAGAGGAGAUUCUGGGUUUAGUCAACUCUUUGCUAAAUGAAUAACGCGGAGAAGGUUUGGUUGACAUCAAGCGAAACUGAGAGAGUUAGAGGUAACUGAAUGCUUAAUAAAUUAAUUAAUUUAUUGUGAGUAUUAAAGAAUAAAAAUAAUGGCGUUUUCAAUACUUGUCCAUCAAUUAAUUAGGUGGAAGCUGAUGUGGCUAUGGCUGGAUUUAAGGAGGCGGCGAGCAUUUGGAUUUAGUUCGUGUUUACCGUAUUUUAUAAAAUUUUGAAAAUUCAUUUUUAUUUAUAUUUUUAGAUUAUUUUAAUAUACUAUUGUCAAAAUAAAUUUUAAAAAAUAAAAUAUUAUUUUUAUAUAUUUACAAACAAAACAAUACUUUAAAAAACAAUUCCUUCCACCCUCCAAACACUACCCUAAAGAAUUUUCUUUCUAAUUUUUAAAUAGCGCAUUUAAAUUUGUCUCAAGUCCUAAAUUCGAAACCUAAUUUUGUUGUAAAGCAAAAACCACAUCAUAAUAUAAAGAUGGAAGAAUAAUUGGAUAGAAGGAUCGUCAGCUAGUAGCCUGGUACAAGGAUAAUGAAUUCGGAGGCUAGGUUUCCCUUUUCUCAAGACAAACAAGAGGGGUCUCGAGAUCGCAGAGCCCUGCUCUCGUGAGUGCAAGUUUAUGAAUGGUGUUUCUCGAGUUGAAAAUGACCUCUACCGACUGAGGGCGUUGAUUUUGACCAAUCAAAUUUAUGUAGAGGGCUCAGCAUGAGAUAUUAUAGUCAUAAAUUCUUACAAGCUAUAAAUCGAACGACAACCUUUUCGGUACCCUCAUAAAAUAAAAGGGUUUGAAAGGGUCUUCUUGGCCCUUGCGUUGUAGCAUCCUAACACGUCAUGUUCAAUAUUGAUAUUCUACAAGCAUAGAUAAUGACCGGUUAAAAUUCAAUUUAAUUAAAAAAUAUAUUUUAAUAUGUAAUUUUUUUUAAUAUUAAGAUAAUAAAAUCUUAAAAUUACUAAAAUGCUCAAAUUAACUUAUCAAACUUAUAAUUUGGUUCAUAAACUUUACUAAGUUUAAUAUUUUUUUUUAAAAUAAUUUUUAUUUAAUUAUAUAAUAAUAAAAAUAAAAAAUAAUAACAAAGAAACUGAAUAAGCUAGAUAAAAAAAACAAUGAAUUAAACAAAAAAAACAAGUUGUAAUUAUUUUUUUUUAUUAGAAAACACAAUAAGAAAUCCAACGGUACCAAAUAAAAUAAUAUCUAAAUGUAUUUAUAAUUAUUUUAAGAAUUUAAUAAAAUAAUAUACAAUAUAUAUUUUUAAUUAAUUUAAAAAUGACAUAAGUUUUAGCAAAGAGAAAGAAAAAAACAAGUCAAACAUGCUUGCUAGGUUAGGUGGCGCCCUUUAAAAAUAAAAUCAAAUAGGUGGGUCCAAUUGCUUAAGUUUGUGUGCCUAGCCUUUUAUUCUUUCUAGAUUAGGUGAGCAUUCAAUUUUAAAAAAUAAAAUAAAUCAAAUCAAAUCAAAUAACCCCUUAAUAGAACUACUUUUAUCAAAUAUAAUCUAUCAGCACCAAGAAUAAUUUUUUCAUCGCUAAAAUGGUGCCAACCAAUAACUACUUUUAUUCGCCAUUUUCAAGAGACCCUCUCUCUCUCAAACUACUAACUAAUAUAAGAACAAAAUUAAAAUUUAGAUUACAAAUUUUGAUCCUUAAAUUAGAAGGACAAAAAAAAAGAUUUGACAAGAUCUCAAUGUAAAAUCUAGCAUAAAAAGUUAGAGGGGGUGAUUUUUUUUAAUAAUAGGUUUGUCUUUUUUUCUUUAAUUUUGAUUUUCUAACUUUUAUUUCGGUACAAAUAAUAAAAUUAAAAAGAUAUUCACAAAAUUAAGAACCAACUUAAUAAUUAGAAUUUUUUUUAUUAAGACUGAUGUUUUUAAACUAGCCAGGGUCAUGGGUUUUGGCCAAGUGACCCGGGUUAACUUUAUUUUUUUAAUAAAUUAAAACGACAUUGUUUUUGGUAAAAUAAAAAAAAUAGUCAACGGGUUGCAACCGGGUUUUUGAUCGGGUUUUACCAAUCAACCAAGUCAUCGGGUCAACCUGCUGGGUCAUCCAGGUUUUUAACUAUCCUUAUGUUUUCAUAAACCUAACCCAAUUCUAGUCCCAAGUUUUAAAACUAUGAUUGAGAUUAUAAUAGUCUUAUAGAAAAUAAUAAAAAAACAAAUUUACAAAGAUAAAGUUUUAUUAAACACAUUCUCAAGGCUUAAAUAAAUAAUAAAAAAAAAACAGAGCAUUUAAGUUUUAGUGAACAAUGAAAUAAGAGGGGGGCUAUAAUAGAAUCCACAAAUCUUUUAAGCUUUCUUUAAUGCGAUUUUUAUAUAUAUAUAAAAAAAAGUAUUUGUGUUGUUUAUGAUAUUUAUGUGUUUUCUAAAAAAUAUUAUUUUUUAAAUGGCUGAAAAUAUAUUCUUAAUGAUAAUUUUAAUUCGAACAGUAUAAUAAUAGAUUAUCAAAUAAUUUUACUCACGAUAUAAUACAAUAAUUCAUUAUGAAAAACAAUCUAACAUAUUUAAUUUCACAAAAUAACAUUAAUAACACAGCCAUGACGUGGACUUAAUAUUUCGAAACAUCAUUGUAGAGUUGUCUCAUAACGAGACUUUUUUUUUUUUUUUUUUUUUCAUUUUGAAAAACCAUCCACUACAUAUUUUGAUGCCAGAAGGACUCACGACCUGCUUCCUUAUCAACUCCAUAUGGCGACCAACUAGUUCCUAAAACAUCAAGAUAUUGAUUCUCGAGAAAGAAGGAAUUGCUUUUAUUUAACAAAUGUCCACACGAUCUCAAGCUAUACAAAUGGAUACUAUCAUCCAAAUUCGAUCCCUAGACCCGUCGUUCCUGAAGUUUAAAUUUAAUAUCUACCUGUUGAAAUUCCAACUCUUAAAAAGCUGGGGCAUAUCCUUUGGAGAAUAAAAACAAAGUGGGCAGAGAGAUUUCCCAUCUUAGACAAUUGCGGUGGCGAUGGCGAUUGUGUUCAAGCCUCUUUCUGUUCUCCCUCUCUUUUUUCUUUCCAGUUACGCCCAAUAUUGGUUGAGGCCUGAUGCCCACGUAUUAUUCAACAGGAAAAAGAUCGUAGGCCCUUAUGAAUUGUUUAAUGACCCUUUUGGAGAUGCUCUAGAUUAUAAGAGGAAAAAGAGCACAGAUGAUUUCGGGACUGCCCCAAUAUCAGAUUCCGAAAAAACUUCUGUUCUUCCUAAUUAUGUGGGUCUACCUAAUGAACCUAAAGGGAGACGGGAGUUGGUUGCUGUGAAUUCUGGUGGAUCUGCCAUGCAUGCAAUCUUGUAAAAUUUGAAAUUGAAGAUUGUGAUGAACAGAGAUUUAUAUCUGGUGAAUUUCUUGGUUUCACGUCUCUUCGAUUUUGAGGAUACGAGAUUGUGGAAAAAGCUGGCGUCCAUUUCAAGCGUACAACACUGCACAGCUCUGGUGGAAUUGGAUAUAAUUUAUUGCCAUGAGUUGAUCUCAAUUCAUGGUGAUUUCCGAGAAUUGAAAUAUUCUUUGAAGAAAUUGAUAGUUUGGAAUUUGAGAUUAAGAGCUCUUCCAAGCGGGGUACAACGUUGCAAAUCUCUAGAGAAAUUGUCUACAAGGGAUUGCAGAGAGCUUAUCCAUAUUAAUGAUUUACAAGAAUUGCGUUCACUUGUUGAAUCAAACAUCACACAAGCCUAAGUUGUUGAUGACUUCUGUCGUUGCAGAUCAAUGACGGAAUAAAAAUACUUCACACCUAAACUCAUUACUAGCUAGGAGUUGAUUUUUGGUUCUGGUUUACCUUUCCAACUGCCAUUAUUUGUUUAAUAAACCCUUAUAUUUAUAGUCUUCAAUUGUUUAACUACAGUUCAAUCAUCAGUAAUCAGUAUCCAGAGCAGAAACAGAGAGCAAAACAUCCAUAAAUGGAGGAAAAUAUCUUAUGCCCCUGGUGGCGCAAUUAAUCCUUAUAAAAUGUCAUUCUGAAGUGAAUAUUUCAUGUUUAUGUCAUAUUGUUGUUUUUGAAGCCCUUCUAGCAAGAAUUACCCAACAAAGCACGCGAUAGAAAACAAAGAAACCAAACAUGAUUCCCACAUUUAUCCACCUAGUAUCCUUGUCAAGUCCUCUACUCUUCAAGACAUCAUUUCCUGUAAGCACACAACUGGAAUGAUCCUGACCCUGCCAAGAGAAACACUCAUUUCUCACACUCCAAUACUCAUUUGUAAGCAGCGAAUCCAAUGGAUACCUGUAGAGGGAAACAUAGUACAUGAACAGCCAGUAUUUGGGGAUGUUCUCUUUCGGAAUGAAGUAUCCAGAGAAGAGAAAGAAUGCUCCAAGCACUGUGCAGAUGAGUGAGUUUCCUGAAAUGAAGUCAGGGGAGACUGCACUUAGGAAAAGCACUAGAGAACUGGCCAUCAGGACAAUAAGCCAGACCACAAAUACGAAGAAUGCGAAGGCAGCGAUGGAAGGAUUAAGUCCGACAAUCCAGUACACAGGGAUGGAGAAAAGCAUUGCCACAGCAAACAAGAAAGGCAGAAAGACAAUGGUGUUGGCAAUCAUGUAGGAGGAGAUAUUAUAGGCUCCUCUUGAAGAUUCCUUCAUCAGAACACGCCGCUCCUGAAGGUAUAUUGGAAGAGCUUCCACUGUUGAAGAAAGGAGAAAACUAAGACUGAAAGCAAAUAGGCCUAAUCGUUCAGCAACCCCUCCUUCAUCCUUCCUCACCUUGAUAUAUACACUGGCUAACCCAAAGCCUCCAACAAUGGCUUGCAUUGUUCUUGCCAAGAAUAGCUGCUUUGUUCUAUAAAUGACCUUCCAAAAUCUUGAGCAGAGAAAUAUAAUUUCAAACAAAUUGAAGAAGGAACAAAAGCCUGAGUAUUUCGUAUCAGAACCUUGUUGGAUUUGGACAAUUUCUUCUUGGGGCCAAAUUGAGUAGGAAUAUGGUUCAUUUUCUAGAGCAGGCAUGUACACUUUGGAUUUUGCAUCUUCUAAUGUAUUGAUAAUUUCCAUUGCAAACUCCAGAGCAUUCAGCUGCAAUGGAAUUUGGAAUCCCAACUUGGUUAUGGUUUCCUCAAGUGAUUCCAGGCUGCCAUUAUGCACAACCGAACCACGAGACAGGAUUAAGAAAUUGGGAAUGUACUGAAGAAUUCGAUAGCUUGGUUGAUGGAUAGAUAACACCACUGUCCUUUGCUUUGCUUUUGCCAUUGAUGAAAGCAGCUCGAUCACUUGAAGUGCUGAAGUGCUGUCUAGGCCUGAAGUCGGUUCAUCAAGGAGUAGAAUUGGUGGAUCAUGAAUCAUGUCAACCCCAAUUGACACCCUCUUUCUUUCUCCACCAGAUAUCCCUCUAUUCUCUUCAUCACCAACAAAACUAUUUGCAACAUGGAAAAGGCCAAGCUCACGCAUCAAGCUCUCCACCCUCUCCUCUCUCUCUUUUGAACUCUUUUCUUUGAGCCUGAACUUGGCACUGAACAUAAGUGUUUCCUUCACGGUCAGUAAAGGAAGCAAAUUAUCCUCCUGUGUGACAAAUCCACAUAUCUUCCUCAACUGAGCUGUACUAGCCAUGCAGCGACCAUUUAUUAACACGCUCUUUGGAUCAAAAUCCUUAUCUUUGACUCUGCCUGAUAUGAUCCGAAGAAGACUUGAUUUUCCGGUGCCACUUGGACCAACAACGGCUAGAAUUUCAGAGCCUCUCGCAUCAAAAGAAACUGAUUUAAGUAUGUUGAUGGGCUUAGGCUUUUGCAUCAAGUGAGAAAAUGAAGUGCAUACUGACCUGUUAGGGCAGAUGGUAUAGGAAAGAUUUCUUACAGAAAGUUCAAAAUAUUUUCGUGAAUGUUGAUGAGGUUGUGGCGGUGGUGAGGGAUUGAAAGAAGAGGAGGGGCUGGUGGAGUAUUCCUCUGGGGAAUUAGAAGUUGAGAAGAAUAUCACCGAGUCUUCCUCAACACUUGGUUGCUGGAAACAAGAUGCCAUUUUCUGAGCUUAAUUUUCUGCAGGAGGUGCAUGCAUGUAAAGUAGAACGGAGGCAGCUUUGAAGCGGGAAUGUUAGCCAGGUUGAGAUACGGGGGUUGGACCAACCAAGAUAAUUGUGAAAGAAGGAUUCUUUAAUGUCGGCGAGUGCUGUAGAAGUUGGCAGUGUUUGGUGAUCUGAGAAAGUUGACUAAUUUAGGAACAUUACUUGUGGCAACUUCGUUUUAAUCUAGACAUUUCGUAGAUACCCUUUGUCCAUGGAACGAACCUAUCAAGACUAACGCCAUUGAUGAAAACAAGGUUCUAGGAGUGUCAAUUAAAGGCCAUGGAUGCCGCCCAUGACCCUUGACGGGAUUAACUCUGUCCAGGUUGAUUGCUCGAGACUUUUCCAGUGAUCUAUAUUGCGCGUGAAAAGUAAAAGGUAAAAUCUGGGUGAGGUUGAUCCACCAGACCACCAACUCAUUUGUUCAUCGAUUCUUUCAUGAUUGACUUGUUCAAGCUGCUGCUACAUGAAGCUAGCUAGCUUUAAGAUAUUCAUCUCCUACUAUUGGUUAAUGUCAGGUGGCAUUUAAUAGAUUACGACUAAGUUCUCUUUCUUGCUCAGAUCUAACAAAUAAAGAAGAUAUUCCAUUAGUAUUUUUUCUACUUGAUAGGUUGCAGAUACUUGAUUCAAACGUUAGCUCAACGUGCAUUAAUCUAACGCAUGCUGUUUUCCUCACAUCCAAAUUAUAUUUUUUUUUUUUCCCUUUUGAAAUCCUAGUUCGGUCGUCCCCAAUAGACAUAGCGUGAUGAUAAAAGACUUAAAAUUUAUACAUUAGGUCUCGAGUUCGAAUCAAAACAUAUAUUUCUUAUAAGAGCUUGGAACAACCGGGGUUUUACUCGCUUACCUGAGCUAACAAAGUGCUCUUUUUAGGAGGUGAGGUUCCUCAAUUUUUUUUUUUUUAAAAUCCUAGUUCGGUCGCACACGUACAUGCAUGUAUACUGUAGGGAGGGUGUAAUAGCAGUGUCAUAAGCUCAUCUUUUGGUAGACAGGAAGAUUCGAAUAGUUUUCAUAGCCUCAUUUCAUGAAACCUCCGACCUAUUUCAGUCAGUUGUGAACUUGGAACCCUAAAAUUGGAAUUCCAAGCUAAAAUCACCGAGCCGAGAUAUAUGUCUCAAAGAGGACGCUAGCUGGUGCGAUCCCAUCUCGUGAAAGUCAUGAUACUUAAAUCCGUAUACUUGAUGUGUAUUAAGGAAUAGUAUAAAUUUAUUUUUGAGGUUUGUUUUUUUGGAUUUUUUCUUAGUUUGUUUAAGUCAAAUAUAUUUAAGGGAUUGUAAAUUUCAAGAUAAGAAUACUUGAAAAAAAUAUUUAAUAAUAAAAUUUUAAAUUAACAUUUAUAUGCAGUGACUCUUUGUAAGAAUUUUAUAAUACGUAUUUUUAUUGUCUUUCUUUUGUUUUUUCUAUCUGUGUUAGUAUAUAUAUAACACAACCGGAGAUAACAAUAACUUAGGUUUAUAGAUUGAAAUAAUUUUUUGACAAGGUUUUAAAAUUUUUAGGUUUAUAUAUAGUAGUUUUUAAUAAUAAUUAUCUUUAUUUUUCCUUUUUUUUUAAGAUUCCUUUUGAAUUUUUUCCACUCUUGUGCAUUUUCAAAUUGUUGCCUAAACUUCAUUUUAAAAUUAAAAGCCAAGAAUUUUUUAAUAAGAAAUAAUGCUACAAGAAACUGCAGGGACUGUUAUAAACUUUUCUAUCCAGAUAAAAAAAAUCCCUUUUCUAUGAAGGGAAACUUUUCAUUUACACAAGUAAACUUACAAGCAAAUCCUGCCACAAAAUUUCACAGGCUAGCUGGUACAAAAUUCAUCGACCAAAAAAAAGAAUAUCAUAAACAGCCAGUUUUUUUUUUUUUCAGUAAUCUUAAACUACUCGGAGAGAUGGAUUGUGCCAAAAGAGCUUGGCAACUAAACUAAUUUCACUGACUUAUGAUGGGGGUUGGAUAAAAAAAAUUAUUUAAUUUUUUUUUAGAUUUUAAUAAAUUAUUUAGUAUUGUUAUUAAAUCCGAUCUAGUAAGCUAGUUUUAAAAAUUCUUAACUCGAUUUCUUGUUUAACUUGAAUUUGAAACUAAAUCAUAUGAGAGUUGUUUUGAUGUAACUUAAUUGAGUUGAUGAGUUCAAAAAUAAUAUAGAUAACCGGUAAAAAAUAUGAUUUGACUAUAAAAAAAAAUAAUCAAGAUUAUAUUUUUUUAAUGUUAAGACGAUAACAAAUUAGAUCAACCCAAGCUUUAUAGCUUAACCUAUUAAUCCUGUGAUUCAGAUCAUGGACUCUACUGUAUUAAUAUUUUUAGUUUGCAAAACUAUCUUAAUGAUAAAUUAACAAAAAUAGAUGCUUACAAAAUUAAAUAUCAAUCAAAUAUUGUGAUUUUUGUUUGAGACUCUAAUAACCUAGAUCUCCUGUGAAAGCGUGAUUUAUAUUUUUAAAAAAAUCAAGAUAAUAUUUUUUUAAUAACAAGAUAGCAAUAUAUUGAAUUAACCUAAGCAUCUCAGCUUAAAUCGCAAACCCCAGGACCCGAAUUAUGAACUUUAUUGAAUUUAAAAACUUUAUUUUUUAAAAUAAUUUUUUAUUAAAUGAUAUGAAAACAAAAACUUGAAAAAAUCAGUUUUGAUCAAAUGUGAAGAUGUUUGUUUAGGGCUACGAUAAUUUUAUAGAAAACAAAUAAAAAUAAAUUAUAAUAACUAAUUUAAAAUCAAUAAAAUAUUUAAGUGUGAAGCCAACAAAAAA